rnacentral:rRNA from 1 species
UAGGGAAUCUUCGGCAAUGGACGGAAGUCUGACCGAGCAACGCCGCGUGAGUGAAGAAGGUUUUCGGAUCGUAAAGCUCCGUUGUAAGAGAAGAACGAGUGUGAGAGUGGAAAGUUCACACUGUGACGGUAUCUUACCAGAAAGGGACGGCUAACUACGUGCCAGCAGCCGCGGUAAUACGUAGGUCCCGAGCGUUGUCCGGAUUUAUUGGGCGUAAAGCGAGCGCAGGCGGUUAGAUAAGUCUGAAGUUAAAGGCUGUGGCUUAACCAUAGUAGGCUUUGGAAACUGUUUAACUUGAGUGCAAGAGGGGAGAGUGGAAUUCCAUGUGUAGCGGUGAAAUGCGUAGAUAUAUGGAGGAACACCGGUGGCGAAAGCGGCUCUCUGGCUUGUAACUGACGCUGAGGCUCGAAAGCGUGGGGAGCAAACAGGAUUAGAUACCCUGGUAGUCCACGCUGUAAACGAUGAGUGCUAGGUGUUAGACCCUUUCCGGGGUUUAGUGCCGUAGCUAACGCAUUAAGCACUCCGCCUGGGGAGUACGACCGCAAGGUUG